GACGAACGCUGGCGGCGUGCUUAACACAUGCAAGUCGAACGGAAAGGCCCUGCUUUUGUGGGGUGCUCGAGUGGCGAACGGGUGAGUAACACGUGAGUAACCUGCCCUUGACUUUCGGAUAACUUCAGGAAACUGGGGCUAAUACCGGAUAGGAGCUCCUGCUGCAUGGUGGGGGUUGGAAAGUUUCGGCGGUUGGGGAUGGACUCGCGGCUUAUCAGCUUGUUGGUGGGGUAGUGGCUUACCAAGGCUUUGACGGGUAGCCGGCCUGAGAGGGUGACCGGCCACAUUGGGACUGAGAUACGGCCCAGACUCCUACGGGAGGCAGCAGUGGGGAAUAUUGCACAAUGGGCGGAAGCCUGAUGCAGCAACGCCGCGUGCGGGAUGACGGCCUUCGGGUUGUAAACCGCUUUCGCCUGUGACGAGGCGUGAGUGACGGUAAUGGGUAAAGAAGCACCGGCUAACUACGUG
rnacentral:rRNA from 1 species